UAAAUUAAAGCCAAAAAAGAGGCAUUUUAUUGUUAAUAAAAAAAAUGAAUUUAAAUUUCUAAUUUAA
rnacentral:tRNA from 1 species